rnacentral:rRNA from 1 species
GACGAACGCUGGCGGCGUGCCUAACACAUGCAAGUCGAACGAAGCUGUUUUAACUGGUGCUUGCACCGACUUAAACAACUGAGUGGCGAACGGGUGAGUAACACGUGGGUAACCUGCCCCAAAGCGGGGGAUAACAUUUGGAAACAGAUACUAAUACCGCAUAAUCACAGAAACCACAUGGUUUCUGUGUCAAAGAUGGUUUCGGCUAUCACUUUGGGAUGGACCCGCGGCGUAUUAGCUAGUUGGUAAGGUAAUGGCUUACCAAGGCAAUGAUACGUAGCCGAACUGAGAGGUUGAUCGGCCACAUUGGGACUGAGACACGGCCCAAACUCCUACGGGAGGCAGCAGUAGGGAAUCUUCCACAAUGGACGAAAGUCUGAUGGAGCAACGCCGCGUGAGUGAAGAAGGUUUUCGGAUCGUAAAACUCUGUUGUCAGAGAAGAACGUGUGCGAGAGUAACUGUUCGUGCAGUGACGGUAUCUGGCCAGAAAGCCACGGCUAACUACGUGCCAGCAGCCGCAGUAA